GGGUUGCUAACUCAACGGUAGAGUACUCGGCUUUUAAGCGACUAGCUCCGGGUUCGAAUCUCGGGUAACCCAC
rnacentral:tRNA from 1 species